UAGCGUAGGGGGCAAGGCAUUGUCCGGAAUCGAUUGGGCGUAAAGCGCGUGUAGGCGGUUACGUAAGUCUGCUGUGAAAGUCGGAGGCUCAACCUUCGAAAGCCGGUGGAUACUGCGUGACUAGAGUACGGAAGAGGAGAGUGGAAUUCCUGGUGUAGCGGUGAAAUGCGCAGAUAUCAGGAGGAACACCAACGGCGAAGGCAGCUCUCUGGGACGUUACUGACGCUGAGACGCGAAAGCGUGGGGAGCAAACAGG
rnacentral:rRNA from 1 species